UACGUAGGGUGCAGGCGUUAAUCGGAAUUACUGGGCGUAAAGCGUGCGCAGGCGGUUUCUUAAGUCAGAUGUGAAAGCCCCGGGCUUAACCUGGGAACUGCGUUUGAAACUGGGAGACUUGAGUGUGGCAGAGGAAGGUGGAAUUCCACGCGUAGCGGUGAAAUGCGUAGAGAUGCGGAGGAACACCGAUGGCGAAGGCAGCCCCCUGGGCUAGCACUGACGCUCAGGCACGAAAGCGUGGGGAGCAAACAGG
rnacentral:rRNA from 1 species